rnacentral:rRNA from 1 species
GACGAACGCUGGCGGCGUGCCUAAUACAUGCAAGUAGAACGCUGAAGGAGGAGCUUGCUUCUCUGGAUGAGUUGCGAACGGGUGAGUAACGCGUAGUUAACCUGCCUGUUAGCGGGGGAUAACUAUUGGAAACGAUAGCUAAUACCCCAUAAAAGUAGAUGUUGCAUGACAUUUUCUUAAAAGGUGCAAUUGCAUCACUACCAGAUGGACCUGCGUUGUAUUAGCUAGUUGGUGGGGUAACGGCUCACCAAGGCGACGAUACAUAGCCGACCUGAGAGGGUGAUCGGCCACACUGGGACUGAGACACGGCCCAGACUCCUACGGGAGGCAGCAGUAGGGAAUCUUCGGCAAUGGACGGAAGUCUGACCGAGCAACGCCGCGUGAGUGAAGAAGGUUUUCGGAUCGUAAAGCUCUGUUGUAAGAGAAGAACGAGUGUGAGAGUGGAAAGUUCACACUGUGACGGUAUCUUACCAGAAAGGGACGGCUAACUACGUG